CUGCAUACUUUAAUACUUCUUUCCAUGAAUCAAACAAUAUCCAUGACAUGAAUAACUAAUCUCAAUCAAUUUACAUUUACCAAACUAAUGUUUUGCUUGAAACACAUAUUUUUAAAGGGAGGUUAAUCUAUAUCAUCCAACAGUGGCUAGGAGCAUUACAAAGCCAGAAAUGUACAGUACAAGAAAGCAUAGAACACCAAGGACUGCAAACUAAUAGAAAUGAUCAUCUCUCGAGACAAGAAAGCCAAUAGGAUCUACAGUCCAGAGACAUGAUUCUAAAGGCAAAGUCACGUGAACUCUAAAGCAUAGAAUACUGAUCUGUAUGCAAGCUUAAAAAUUAUAGGAGAAAUCAGUAAUGACGUGGCAAUUUGAACAAUCAGGACAUAAAGAGGUAAGAUGCAAGCUGACUAGUUCAUGGCCAAGUUCAGCUCCAUUACUCCAACGUCCACUAUCUAAGCAUGUUCAAGUAACAACAAUAACAACAACUACUACCCGAAAGGGCAGAGAUGUUGGUUCCAAUCGACCAUCGGCUCAGUGAAGGAAAGGAAAAACAAAAACAAAAACAAAAGAGCAUUAGUAAAUCUAGCAGAAAUAGCGUAAAUAAUCAUCUAGAUAUAAGAACCAUAAAUAAAAUAACAUACAAUUAUAACUACCAUAAGGGAAACACAAUCCAAUACAGUAAUGAGAACAAAACAUUGACAAAAAUAUGAACCAACAAGAACAGAGUAUCGAACUUAUUUGUCAAGAGGUCAAUAAACUACAACUAUCACUACUAAAAAUCCACAAGAAUCGUGAGAGAAUGCAUCACUGUUUAACGCAUUAUUACAAACCAUGAAACACAUAAGUUGUAAUUAUUCAUAUUGAAAUCGGGGGAAUCUAAGCUGCAGUGACCCCGAACCCUUCUUGAUUCAAUUUAUUCAAAUGCAUUUAAACCAAUUCACAAAUACUUCCCCCAAAGAGUAUUAGCCAUGGAUCUUAUCAUACUUUAAUCGUCACUGUGUAAAUAAAAGCAAAGAGAACAAAUCUGAACCUGAAAUUGAAUCUCCUUUUUUGAUAAAAGAAGUGAGGUUGAUUACAAAGCGUUGAAUCCAAAGUCUCAGCAAGAAGAUAACAACAAUUCAAGAUAAGAAUCGUGAACCAGUACAAUAACUCGAACGGUAUAAAAAGGCUUGAUUAACUCCCAACUCAAACGAAUCCCACCUCUAGUUCAAACAGAAGUCCAUUUUUUGGGUUUGAGAAGAAUAGAUAGAAGAUAUGCAAUCUUCUUUUAUGUCAAUGGAAGAUCAGAAGAAGAAAAAAGGUUGGAAAAUCAAAACUAGAACUCUAUUCUUUCUUUUCACUCAAAAAUUUCUGUUUAAACUCCCCUACUCACUUUUUCUUACGAAAAUUCCUUUCUCUAGAAAUUUGUUCUCUCCA
rnacentral:lncRNA from 1 species